UACGAAGGGGGCUAGCGUUGUUCGGGAUUACUGGGCGUAAAGCGUGCGCAGGCGGCUUCUCAAGUCAGGGGUGAAAGCCCAGAGCUCAACUCUGGAAUUGCCUUUGAGACUGAGUGGCUUGAGUACGAGAGAGGUGAGUGGAAUUCCCAGUGUAGAGGUGAAAUUCGUAGAUAUUGGGAAGAACACCGGUGGCGAAGGCGGCUCACUGGCUCGUAACUGACGCUCAUGCACGACAGCGUGGGGAUCAAACAGG
rnacentral:rRNA from 1 species